GGCCUAACACAUGCAAGUCGAGCGGUAGCGGGCCUGACCACUCUCGAGUGGUUCAGGUGCCGACGAGCGGCGGACGGGUGCGUAACACGUAGGAAUCUGCCCGGUAGUGGGGGAUAGCCCGGAGAAAUUCGGAUUAAUACCGCAUACGCCCUAUGGGGGAAAGCAGGGGAUCGGUUCGCCGACCUUGCGCUAUCGGAUGAGCCUGCGUCGGAUUAGCUUGUUGGUGGGGUAAAGGCCUACCAAGGCGACGAUCCGUAGCUGGUCUGAGAGGAUGAUCAGCCACACUGGGACUGAGACACGGCCCAGACUCCUACGGGAGGCAGCAGUGGGGAAUAUUGCACAAUGGGCGAAAGCCUGAUGCAGCCAUGCCGCGUGUGUGAAGAAGGCCCUAGGGUUGUAAAGCACUUUCAGUGGGGAGGAAAGGUCGAAGGUUAAUACCCUUUGGCUGUGACGUUACCCACAGAAGAAGCACCGGCUAACUCCGUGCCAGCAGCCGCGGUAAUACGGAGGGUGCGAGCGUUAAUCGGAAUUACUGGGCGUAAAGCGUGCGUAGGCGGCCAUUUAAGUUGGAUGUGAAAGCCCCGGGCUCAACCUGGGAACUGCAUCCAAAACUGGGUGGCUUGAGUGCGAGAGAGGAGUGUGGAAUUUCCUGUGUAGCGGUGAAAUGCGUAGAUAUAGGAAGGAACACCAGUGGCGAAGGCGACACUCUGGCUUGACACUGACGCUGAGGUACGAAAGCGUGGGGAGCAAACAGGAUUAGAUACCCUGGUAGUCCACGCCGUAAACGAUGUCUACUAGUUGUCGGUGGUCUUGUACUGCUGGUAACGCAGCUAACGCGAUAAGUAGACCGCCUGGGGAGUACGGCCGCA
rnacentral:rRNA from 1 species